rnacentral:tRNA from 1 species
GGUUCGCUCAGUGGCAGAGUGCUUGCCUUGCAUGCAUGAGGCCCUGGGUUUGAUUCCCCAGCACCA